AGGAGAAACGUAGAGAUCCAACGAUGAAAAAUACACAGUGAAGACAAAUCAGUCGCAUUUGGAGAUGAAUAAGUAUCUUAGGCACUAGAUCACAGUUUGCGUCUCCGCACUGGCAGGCAUGCACCAAUGACUGAAUGCAUUCCUGUAUCGAUAAUCUCCUGGCCGCCUAUAUUGCAGAAAAGGAAAAGACCUGCAGGUUGCCCUCCGGUUAGUGCACUCGAUUGAGGUUGAACUAGACUUGGUGCUGGUGUUUGCGCUGCCAUUCUGCCCUCAUCCUGUUCACCUAUGAUGUUCGUAAUGCCCAUCGGGCCGGUGGUACCGUUUCAGACUGCCGAGCACGUGAAGUGCAGAGCAUGCAUGAUGCAAGUCGUAA